rnacentral:rRNA from 1 species
UACGUACGAGGCGAGCGUUAUCCGGAAUUACUGGGCGUAAAGCGCGCGCAGGUGGCCAAUUAAGUCCGCUGUGAAAUCUCCCGGCCCAACUGGGGCAGGGGCCAGUGGAUACUGGAUGGCUUGAGGGCAGCAGAGGUCGGUGGAAUUCCUGGUGUAGUGGUGAAAUGACGUAGAGAUCAGGAGGAACACCGGUGGCGAAGGCGGCCGACUGGGCUGCCACUGACGCUGAGGCGCGAAAGCUCGGGGAGCGAACGGG